UUUUUUUUUUUUUUUUUUUUUUUUUUUUUUUUUUUUAAUUAUUUUUUUGCUUUUAUAAUUUAGCAUAGCUAGCAGUCUAUUAAAAAAAAAGAAAGUAUUGAUUUCCUCCAUUCCAGCAAGAAAGCAUGAAUCAAUCAAU
rnacentral:ribozyme from 15 species